GAUGAACGCUGGCGGCGUGCCUAAUACAUGCAAGUCGAGCGAACAGACGAGGAGCUUGCUCCUCUGACGUUAGCGGCGGACGGGUGAGUAACACGUGGAUAACCUACCUAUAAGACUGGGAUAACUUCGGGAAACCGGAGCUAAUACCGGAUAAUAUAUUGAACCGCAUGGUUCAAUAGUGAAAGACGGGUUUGCUGUCACUUAUAGAUGGAUCCGCGCCGCAUUAGCUAGUUGGUAAGGUAACGGCUUACCAAGGCAACGAUGCGUAGCCGACCUGAGAGGGUGAUCGGCCACACUGGAACUGAGACACGGUCCAGACUCCUACGGGAGGCAGCAGUAGGGAAUCUUCCGCAAUGGGCGAAAGCCUGACGGAGCAACGCCGCGUGAGUGAUGAAGGUCUUCGGAUUGUAAAACUCUGUUAUUAGGGAAGAACAAAUGUGUAAGUAACUAUGCACGUCUUGACGGUACCUAAUCAGAAAGCCACGGCUAACUACGUG
rnacentral:rRNA from 1 species